rnacentral:rRNA from 1 species
UACGUAGGGUGCAAGCGUUAAUCGGAAUUACUGGGCGUAAAGCGUGCGCAGGCGGUUUUGUAAGUCUGUCGUGAAAGCCCCGGGCUUAACCUGGGAAUUGCGAUGGAGACUGCAAGGCUUGAAUCUGGCAGAGGGGGGUAGAAUUCCACGUGUAGCAGUGAAAUGCGUAGAGAUGUGGAGGAACACCGAUGGCGAAGGCAGCCCCCUGGGUCAAGAUUGACGCUCAUGCACGAAAGCGUGGGGAGCAA